rnacentral:rRNA from 1 species
UACGUAGGGUGCGAGCGUUAAUCGGAAUUACUGGGCGUAAAGCGUGCGCAGGCGGCUUUGUAAGUCUGAUGUGAAAUCCCCGGGCUCAACCUGGGAAUUGCAUUGGAGACUGCAAGGCUAGAAUCUGGCAGAGGGGGGUAGAAUUCCACGUGUAGCAGUGAAAUGCGUAGAGAUGUGGAGGAACACCGAUGGCGAAGGCAGCCCCCUGGGUCAAGAUUGACGCUCAUGCACGAAAGCGUGGGGAGCAAACAGG